rnacentral:tRNA from 1 species
GGCGCGCGGCCUGGCGGUGGGGGCGCUGUUGUUGUCGGCGUGGUUCUCUGCGCAACUGAUGUUCGGCUUCUUCGGCGUGUUGC